rnacentral:rRNA from 1 species
AACGAACGCUGGCGGCAUGCCUAACACAUGCAAGUCGAACGAGAUCUUCGGGUCUAGUGGCGCACGGGUGCGUAACGCGUGGGAAUCUGCCCUUUGUUUCGGAAUAACAGUUGGAAACGACUGCUAAUACCGGAUGAUGACGAAAGUCCAAAGAUUUAUCGCCAGAGGAUGAGCCCGCGUAGGAUUAGCUAGUUGGUGUGGUAAAGGCGCACCAAGGCGACGAUCCUUAGCUGGGCUGAGAGGAUGAUCAGCCACACUGGGACUGAGACCCGGCGCAGACUACUACGGGAGGCAGCAGUGGGGAAUAUUGGACAAUGGGGGAAAGCCUGAACCAGCAAUGCCGCGUGAGCGAUGUAGGCCUUAGGGAUGUAAAGCUCUUUUACCCGGGAUGAUAAUGACAGUACCGGCAGAAUAAGCCCCGGCUAACUCCGUGCCAGCAGCCGCAGUAA